rnacentral:rRNA from 1 species
GACGAACGCUGGCGGCGUGCUUAACACAUGCAAGUCGAACGGAAAGGCCUUUUCGGAGGUACUCGAGUGGCGAACGGGUGAGUAACACGUGGGUGAUCUGCCCUGCACUCUGGGAUAAGCCUGGGAAACUGGGUCUAAUACCGGAUAGGACCGCACCUUCGUGUGUGUGGUGGAAAGUUUUUUCGGUGUAGGAUGAGCCCGCGGCCUAUCAGCUUGUUGGUGGGGUAAUGGCCUACCAAGGCGGCGACGGGUAGCCGGACUGAGAGGUGGGUCGGCCACAUUGGGACUGAGAUACGGCCCAGACUCCUACGGGAGGCAGGAGUGGGGAAGAUUGCACAAUGGGCGCAAGCCUGAUGCAGCGACGCCGCGUGGGGGAUGACUGCCUUCGGGUUGGAAACUCCGUUCGCCAGGGACGAAGCGUUUUGUGACGGUACCUGAAGAAGAAGCACCGGCUAACUACGUG